GCCCUUUUUCUUUGAACAAAGUAUUGGUUCUGUGAUCCUAAUUUCUUGGUUGUUUCUUGUCCUCAUCAAUAUUUAUGGGAUUCUUGAGAUGCACCUGAAUCAAUACCUUGUUGGUUCAUACAUAUUUUUCUCUUUUUGUAUUUGUUCAAACUGGAAAAUGAAGUUAGAGUUGAUGAAAUGCAGAUCAAAAGGCAAGAAAGGAUUCGAGGAUUAAAGGCCUAAGCAAAGGAAGAUGUAGAAUUUGCUGCGAAACAGAAAUUGAUUCUGUUUUGUACAGGUACCUCACAGGUGUAAAAUUUCCACGAAAUUAUAGUCAUUUGAAGCAGGCAGCAUCCGAUAGAAGAGAUGUCUUUUCAGGCAACGAUUCAGUAUUACUUAUUGUAGCAUAUAUUUCUUUGAUUACAGAUGUGGGCAUAUGUGCACCUGUUUCAAGUGUGCUCACGAGUUGCAUCAGAGUAGCGGAAAAUGUCCAAUGUGUGGAGCUCAAAUACUGGAUGUUGUGCUUGUACAUGUUCAUUCUUGAAGGAAUAUGCUACUUGUACAUAAUGCAGUAUCCAUUCGAAAUGGAUCCCUCUCCAUAUGAGGGGGUGGACACCGUUAUGAACACACUAGUAUACAUGUAACAUCAUCCAUUUUUGAAAUACAGAUGAACCAAUUGUUUUCAUGCUGAACUAACCUUGAAUAUAAAUCUGACGAAAG
rnacentral:lncRNA from 1 species